rnacentral:misc_RNA from 1 species
GAAUUGCGAUAAGUAAUGUGAAUUGCAGAAUUCAGUGAAUCAUCAAAUCUUUGAACGCACAUUGCGCUUUCCGGUAUUCCGGUAAGCAUGCCUGUUUGAGAAUCGAUAAUCUCUCACAAUGCUAUCUGGACUGGGAUAACAUCUAACGAUGUGACCCCAUGUCCUUUGCAUGGUGGAUUUGGAACACUUGCUUUUACGGCAACGUUCUCAAAAUGAAUGUUUUGACCAUUUGCUUGCUGAGGCGAUCUGGGUCUAUAUGAGUGCAUGAGUAGGUUAGGUCCUUUAUGAUUUCACUCAUUCCUAGGUUACCUUCUUCAGUAAGUGUGGGCAACUCCAGUUCUAAACUCAGUUCAAAGUUCCGUAUGGGAUUGGAACUGAAAACUUGGUCUCAAAUCAGGUA